CUUGUUUCCUCGGUGUAUAUAAAGAGAGAGAGGCUCCUGCCUCGACAACCAGCACAAGAUUAAUUAGGGGAAGGCUGCUUGACGAUCUUCUCAUGUCUACCUCGACCCAGGACUUGGACAACAUCUUCCAUGCCUUCGACAUGGGUUCUCUGAGAACUCACCUCCCCAUAAAAAGGAAAGGGUUGUCGAAAUAUUUCUCCGGCCAAUCGAAGUCUUUUAAGUGCCUGGCGGAUGCAAAGUGCGUCGAGGAUCUUAAGAAGACGGACGUGCCGGAGAGAAAGCGGCGGAAGUAUUUGGACCGCCGGGCAGCAGCGUCCAAUAACGCACUACUCUUCUCCUGUAGCAGUUAGAUGUGUUAUAUUGUUCUUGCCACAGGUCUCCCUCGAUAGGUGCGCGGUCUCUCUACCUGCUGCGGCACCCUCGAUCCAAUAUAUAUAUAUUGAAAGAUUGCAUUAUAACCUCUA